rnacentral:rRNA from 1 species
GAAUUUUGGACAAUGGGCGAAAGCCUGAUCCAGCAAUGCCGCGUGCAGGAUGAAGGCCUUCGGGUUGUAAACUGCUUUUGUACGGAACGAAAAGCUUUGGGUUAAUACCCUGGAGUCAUGACGGUACCGUAAGAAUAAGCACCGGCUAACUACGUGCCAGCAGCCGCGGUAAUACGUAGGGUGCAAGCAUUAAACGGAAUUACUGGGCGUAAAGGGGGCGCGGGCGUGUUUGUAAGCCAGAGGGGAAAUCCCCGGGCUCAACCUGGGAACUGCCUUUGUGACUGCAAGGCUAAAGUACGGCAGGGGGGGGUGGAAUUCCGCGUGUAGCAGUGAAAUGCGUAGAUAUGCGGAGGAACACCGAUGGCGAAGGCAACCCCCUGGGCCUGUACUGACGCUCAUGCACGAAAGCGUGGGGAGCAAACA